UAAGUCAGGUGUGAAAUUACGAGGCUCAACCUCGUGGCUAUGUCUGAAACUAAGUUGCUAGAGUAUAUGAGAGGUAGCUGGAAUUUCCGGUGUAGGAGUGAAAUCCGUAGAUAUCGGGAGGAACACCAAUGGCGUAGGCAGGCUACUGGCAUAUUACUGACACUGAGGCACGAAAGCGUGGGGAGCGAACGGGAUUAGAUACCCCGGUAGUCCACGCCGUAAACGAUGAAUGCUA
rnacentral:rRNA from 1 species